CUAAAAGAGGAAAAUGUUAACAGAAUGAGAGUGUAAACGAAGGACAUGCCCAGUCUAAUGAGAAAGCAGAAAAUAACAAACAGACAGGGAAAAAGAAAGGCAGUGCUAAAGGAAAAAGCUGCAGUCAGAAUGUUAUUAAUGUGGCUGAUGAUGCUCUGGCUGAAAAUCUGUCUGAAGAGAUGGAUGUUACUAUAAGAUCCAG